rnacentral:snRNA from 1 species
CAAAGUGUAGUAUCUGUUCUUAUCAGCUUAAUAUCUGAUACGUCUCCCAAUGGAGGACAUCGAUAUUAAACUGAUUUUUGGAACGGGGUGAGGUGUCCGGGGCUUGCUUCGCCCUCACCACGGGUUGGC